GUACAUUAUAAAAAAAAUUUAUGCCAGAUGUGGAGUUGCGGGUGAAGGGGUCUCCGUCUGGUGUGACAUGGGUGAGGAAGAGGUCGACGAAGGCGGAUGGACUGUUGUCCUUCUUCGGCGACCUCUCAGUACCCAGGUGAACUUCAGCAGAGGAUGGAGCGAUUACAGUAUUGGAUUUGGCAGCCCAGACACUGAAUACUGGAUAGGUAACGACGUGCUCCACGCCCUCACGAACGAAGCAACCCAAGUGCUCCGGGUGGACAUGACCGACUGGGACGGGGAGUCCCGGUACCAAGAGUACAGCUUCUUCCACGUCGCCAACAGAGUUCACAAGUACAGCCUUCGACUGGGGACGGGAACCGGGAUUGCUGGGGAUGCCUUCAAAUAUCAUGAUAACAUGCUCUUCUCCACUCCCGACAGAGAUAACGAUAAAAGUUCCCUUCACUGCGCAGCUAAAUACAGUAGUGGCUUCUGGUUUAAUGACUGUUACAAAGCGAGUCCAACGAACACACUUCUGAGCAAGCAGAAAACCGUGAAGGGGAUAAUUUGGGAAACGUUCCACUCUGACUAUACAACGCUGCAAAGCGUCACCUUUAAAGUGAAGCCAGCUAUGUGAUAUAGUGGAUGAUUUCUCUCAGUCAUAAAUCUUAAAACCCAGUGUCAAUCCAUGCUCAACAAAACUGGUUUCAAAGGACUGUAAAGUGUGACUAAGAGAAAAUUAAGAAAACAGAGAAAUUUGUAAAUUGCGAAUAAGUAAUAGUCUACUGGGUGCUCUUCAGCAAGCGACCUUGGAGGCUUCCCUACUCAUUUACAUAACACCUGAAUGCUCAUGAUUAUCUAAUAAAUCCAUGAAUGUU